AUUUUAGUAUAAGUAUAUCCCAUGCAAUAUUUGGGACAUACUUAUACUAACA
rfam:Myotis brandtii contig247230, whole genome shotgun sequence.